rnacentral:rRNA from 1 species
GAUGAACGCUAGCGGCAGGCCUAAUACAUGCAAGUCGAGGGGCAGCAUAGUAGCAAUACUGAUGGCGACCGGCGCACGGGUGCGUAACGCGUAUGCAACCUACCCAUUACUGAGGGAUAGCCCGGAGAAAUUCGGAUUAAUACCUCAUGGUAUCAAAGACAGGCAUUUGUUUUUGAUUAAAGAUUUAUCGGUAAUGGAUGGGCAUGCGUCAGAUUAGCUAGUUGGCGGGGUAACGGCCCACCAAGGCGAUGAUCUGUAGGGGGUCUGAGAGGAUGAUCCCCCACACUGGUACUGAGAUACGGACCAGACUCCUACGGGAGGCAGCAGUAGGGAAUAUUGGUCAAUGGGCGAGAGCCUGAACCAGCCAUGCCGCGUGCAGGAAGAAGGCCCUCUGGGGUUGUAAACUGCUUUUGACCAGGGCCCAAAAUACUCAUGCGUGAGGAAUUGAGAGUACUGGUAGAAUAAGCACCGGCUAACUCCGUGCCAGCAG